rnacentral:tRNA from 1 species
GCGCACUUAGCUUAGUGGUUAAAGCAUAACUCAUGAAGUUUGAGGUCAUGGGUUCAACUGCCAUAGUGCACA